CCUAUUAUUUAAGAGCUUAACAUUGUAAGUAAAUAAUAAUUAUGAAAGCAAAAAAUUAUGGCGGUAUUUUAAGCUUUUCAGAGGAAUUUGCUCUUUAAUGGAUAAAACACCAAAAUCUUACUUAGAUUUGUGAUUUCAAUUUGUAUACCACUAUUAAAACAAUUUAUAACUUUAAUUGUUUAAAUUUAUAAAACUAAAAUAUAUUAAGUCAAGGUGCAGUAAAAAUUUAAGGAUGAAGUGAAUUACAUUACUUUUUAGUGAGAUAAAUUUAUAACAAUAUUUAGGAUUUGAAAGUAAAAUUAAAAUAGGAUGUUAAUU
rnacentral:rRNA from 1 species